GAGGGUGUAGUUCAGUGGUAGAGCACAUGGUUAGCAUGCUCGAGGUCCUGGGUUCAAUCCCCAGUACCUCUA
rnacentral:tRNA from 1 species